CUGACUCAGUUUAUGAAGGACCGGGCUUCCCCUGUCUCGCUCGUUGAUCUCGUACACGUGUAACUCUUGAACUUUUGCUGUGAAAAAGAUACUGAACACCAGAGAAAUCUUCGACCCAACGGCGGAGGUAAGGUUUGCUCGAUGCUCUAGUUUAGUCUCUCCAAAGCUCCCGGGCCCACCACAGACUCAAGCCGAUACCGAGAACGUGUCCACCAUUGAGUGACGAGAAGUUCUCUGUCAAAUCAUGUGUCUGCAUGUGCAAUGGUGCUCAUUGAAGUGGAAAAGCCAAGGGGUGGUGGCUGUCGUCGAACGGAGGCCGGAGUCAUAGAGACUGUGGUGUUGUGUUGUUGGUGGCUUGACCGUUGAUGGAGGAGAAGACCAAAUAUCUCAGUGGUGCUACGAACUUCACGUCAAAGAAUAAGCAUGUUUUUUCAAGGGAGGAAGGUUGGAUUUCGCAUUGGAAGAAUCUGGGUGUUUCAACAUUAAGGAGGAAGUUAUUUGAGGUUUUUAUUCCAUAUGCUACUGGUUGACAUUGGAUUGAUUUAUUAGAAGUUAUUGAUUUUAUUCGAAAUUGUAAUUUGGUUUAGAAAGUGGGUUCCA